UACGAAGGGGGCUAGCGUUGCUCGGAAUCACUGGGCGUAAAGGGUGCGUAGGCGGGUCUUUAAGUCAGGGGUGAAAUCCUGGAGCUCAACUCCAGAACUGCCUUUGAUACUGAAGAUCUUGAGUUCGGGAGAGGUGAGUGGAACUGCGAGUGUAGAGGUGAAAUUCGUAGAUAUUCGCAAGAACACCAGUGGCGAAGGCGGCUCACUGGCCCGAGUACUGACGCUGAGGCACGAAAGCGCUGGGGAGC
rnacentral:rRNA from 1 species